UGGGGAAUUUUCCGCAAUGGGCGAAAGCCUGACGGAGCAAUACCGCGUGAGGGAUGACUGCCUAUGGGUUGUAAACCUCUUUUCUCAGGGAGGAAAUCAAUGACGUUACCUGAGGAAUAAGCAUCGGCUAACUCCGUGCCAGCAGCCGCGGUAAGACGGAGGAUGCAAGUGUUAUCCGGAAUCACUGGGCGUAAAGCGUCUGUAGGUGGCUUAACAAGUCAACUGUUAAAUCUUGAAGCUCAACUUCGAAAUCGCAGUCGAAACUGUUAGGCUAGAGUAUAGUAGGGGUAAAGGGAAUUUCCAGUGGAGCGGUGAAAUGCGUARAGAUUGGAAAGAACACCGAUGGCGAAGGCACUUUACUGGGCUAUUACUGACACUCAGAGACGAAAGCUAGGGUAGCAAAUGGGAUUAGAUACCCCAGUAGUCCUAGCCGUAAACAAUGGAUACUAGAUGUUGGGCAGAUCGACCUGUUCAGUAUCAAAGCUAACGCGUUAAGUAUCCCGCCUGGGAAGUAUGCCCGCAAGCGUG
rnacentral:rRNA from 1 species